UGGAGAGUGAAAAUGGGGACAAGUCACAAGAAUGUUUUACUCCUGGAUGUAAACCUCUCUGUCUACCUUGGCUGUUCCUAGUCAACAGUUGUCCAUUGUGAUAAUGUUCUAUUCUGUUGACAGUAUCCCCCAGUUCCCUCCUUUGGGGUACUUCUGGGGACUUUAUCAGCCGCUGAGCAAGACCAGAAACACCCUGGAAGUGGUUUAACUCUACUCUACUUGUGCGCAAUUGUGUAAUGCUACCUUCUUAGCCAGCCACUUGACCUCACACCGCCCAACUAUGAGAUGAUGCUCUGCGCUUCUGACAUGACUGCACCUUAUUACUCACUUGGACCAUUACUGACAGA